rnacentral:rRNA from 1 species
AACGAACGCUGGCGGCAGGCUUAACACAUGCAAGCCGAGCGCCCCGCAAGGGGAGCGGCAGACGGGUGAGUAACGCGUGGGAAUCUACCCAUCUCUACGGAAUAACGCAUGGAAACGUGUGCUAAUACCGAAUACGUCCUUCGGGAGAAAGAUUUAUCGGAGAUGGAUGAGCCCGCGUUGGAUUAGCUAGUUGGUGGGGUAAAGGCCUACCAAGCGACGAUCCAUAGCUGGUCUGAGAGGAUGAUCAGCCACACUGGGACUGAGACACGGCCCAGACUCCUACGGGAGGCAGCAGUGGGGAAUAUUGGACAAUGGGCGCAAGCCUGAUCCAGCCAUGCCGCGUGAGUGAUGAAGGCCCUAGGGUUGUAAAACUCUUUCACCGGUGAAGAUAAUGACGGUAACCGGAGAAGAAGCCCCGGCUAACUUCGUGCCAGCCGCCGCCGUAAUAC